UACGUAGGUGGCAAGCGUUGUCCGGAAUUAUUGGGCGUAAAGCGCGCGCAGGUGGUUUCUUAAGUCUGAUGUGAAAGCCCACGGCUCAACCGUGGAGGGUCAUUGGAAACUGGGGAACUUGAGUGCAGGAGAGAAGAGUGGAAUUCCACGUGUAGCGGUGAAAUGCGUAGAGAUGUGGAGGAACACCAGUGGCGAAGGCGGCUCUUUGGCCUGUAACUGACACUGAGGCGCGAAAGCGUGGGGAGCAAACAGG
rnacentral:rRNA from 1 species